rnacentral:lncRNA from 1 species
CUUGCUGGUCUCGAGAACUGAAUAGCUAGUCCUUCUCAAGAUCAGGUCGGACUCUACAAAGAGUCCUUAGAAGCCAACCUUAAGUUGCCUCUUCACUUUUUUAUUGUAGAACUCCUUAGAGCUUUUCAAAUAGCUCCCUAUAGCAUGGCACCAAACCCAUGAUGCCUCAUAGUGGCUUUUCUUUCCCAUUAUUUUCUCCUCGGUGCUGAACCGAUCAUUCGUCUCUUCCAAGUAUGUUUCUCAUUUAAGGAAUACCCAAGGAGGUCGGAUGGUGGUAUGCAUCUCCUUAAAUGGGACAGUACCUCUUCUAAGAUGCUCCUUCCUUGAGCCAUAGUUGGAAUGAGCACUAUUUUUUUGUUUCAACCGAGCAGUCUUGAGAUUUUGAUACUUCAGGAGAUCAACCUUGGAGGCCAUCAAAUAAGGCUC